CCUACGGGAGGCAGCAGUGAGGAAUAUUGCGCAAUGCCCGAAAGGGUGACGCAGCGACGCCGCGUGGAGGAUGAAGGCCCUUUGAAUGUAAACUCCUUUUGUGAGGGAAUAAUUUCCCGCUAUAU
rnacentral:rRNA from 1 species